CUUCCUGCUCACAGCACAAAGCCCAGUUCCCUCUGGCCCCUGCAGGUUGGCUUAUCACCAGGGAACCUGUGCCUCCUCUGAGACCAAGGCACCACUCCAGAACAGGGCUGCAUCUCCCAGGAAGAUCUCGCCUCUCCACUGAAGCCCCUGGUCCAGCCUCCUGCAGUGCCACGCUCCGUGUAUUUGACAAGCUGAGUUGGACACUCCAUGUGGUAGAGUGUCAGUUUGUCAAAUACCCCAAGUGCGGCACAUGCCUAGCAGCUCCAGGCCAGGGCAGUUGGGAUACAACAGAUAGACUGCCAGCUAGAUACAAGAACACUCGCCAAACACCAACUAAACUCUCAAGUUAUUUUCAGUCACUUUGAGGGAACUGAAGCAUUGUAUGUGAGCGUGCCAGGGGAAAGUGAGGCAGCUCUGGGAGCUACAGCCCUGGGCUGUGUCUAUACAUAUUGUGUGAACCCAAGUGGGGCACACUAGUCUUGAAAAGAUAUAAGGGGCUCAGGGAUGGAAGUGUUCCUUGAUUCAUUAUUUUCUUCCUUCAUGUUUCUUUUCCAGAGUCUCUCAGCAAGGACACCAGGAUUCUCGCACAAGCGUUAUGGAAGGGCUUAGAAACCCACUUUCCUGACACUCCGUCUUGGCUUCUAAACACAGUUUCACUUUAUCUAUCUCUCUCCUUUUCCUCAUACCCUUUAUCCUUCUGGGUACACCGUCUCCAUUUCUCUCUGCCUUUCCAAUGCUUUCCCAUACUUCCUGGCUCAGCCAAAGCCCAGUCUCUCCAGGGACUUUUAAAAGUCAAUCUACACUCUUUCUUUCUUCAUUCUCAAAGCACUCCUUGCUUGGGUCCUUGUAUAUAUCUUUUUAUCUCCUACUGCCUAAUGGCACCUCUUGAAUUGUUAGUGAACUUUUCCAGGGGAUAUUUUUUAAUUCCCCACUAGAUUGUGAGCUUCUAAAAGACAAGACUAUGUUUCCUUGAUUGCUGUCUCCCCACUCCACCUCUACCCCAGUCCCUAGCACAGUACUCUGGUUACAGAAAAUACUCAAUAAAUGUUUAUUGAUUGA